GACGUAGGGCGCGAGCGUUGUCCGGAUUUAUUGGGCGUAAAGAGCUCGUAGGCGGCUUGUCGCGUCGAAUGUGAAAACUCGGGGCUCAACUCCGAGCUUGCAUUCGAUACGGGCAGGCUAGAGUUCGGUAGGGGAGACUGGAAUUCCUGGUGUAGCGGUGAAAUGCGCAGAUAUCAGGAGGAACACCGGUGGCGAAGGCGGCCUGCUGGGCAGUGGCUGACGCUGAUGCGCGACAGCGUGGGGAGCAACAGG
rnacentral:rRNA from 1 species